rnacentral:rRNA from 1 species
CCCUUAACGAUGUCGACUUGGAGGUUGUGCCCUUGAGGCGUGGCUUCCGGAGCUAACGCGUUAAGUCGACCGCCUGGGGAGUACGGCCGCAAGGUUAAAACUCAAAUGAAUUGACGGGGGCCCGCACAAGCGGUGGAGCAUGUGGUUUAAUUCGAUGCAACGCGAAGAACCUUACCUGGUCUUGACAUCCACGGAAGUUUUCAGAGAUGAGAAUGUGCCUUCGGGAACCGUGAGACAGGUGCUGCAUGGCUGUCGUCAGCUCGUGUUGUGAAAUGUUGGGUUAAGUCCCGCAACGAGCGCAACCCUUAUCCUUUGUUGCCAGCGGUCCGGCCGGGAACUCAAAGGAGACUGCCAGUGAUAAACUGGAGGAAGGUGGGGAUGACGUCAAGUCAUCAUGGCCCUUACGACCAGGGCUACACACGUGCUACAAUGGCGCAUACAAAGAGAAGCGACCUCGCGAGAGCAAGCGGACCUCAUAAAGUGCGUCGUAGUCCGGAUUGGAGUCUGCAACUCGACUCCAUGAAGUCGGAAUCGCUAGUAAUCGUGGAUCAGAACGCCACGGUGAAUACGUUCCCGGGCCUUGUACACACCGCCCGUCACACCAUGGGAGUGGGUUGCAAAAGAAGUAGGUAGCUUAACCUUCGGGAGGGCGCUUACCACUUUGUGAUUCAUGACUGGGGUGAAGUCGUAAAAGGGGUAACACAUUCC